AUUGAACGCUGGCGGCAGGCCUAACACAUGCAAGUCGAACGAGUGGCGGACGGGUGAGUAAUGUCUGGGAAACUGCCUGAUGGAGGGGGAUAAAUACUGGAAACGGUAGCUAAUACCGCAUACCAUCGGAUGUGCCCAGAUGGGAUUCGCUAGUAGGUGGGGUAAAGGCUCACCUAGGCGACGAUCCCUAGCUGGUCUGAGAGGAGGACCAGCAAAAUGGGAACUUAGACACGGUCCAGACUCCUACGUGAGGAAGCAGUGGGGAAUAUUGCACAAGGGGCGCAAGCCUGAUGCAGCCAUGCCGCGGGUAGGAAGAAGGCCUUGGGUUUUUAAAGUACUUUCAGCGGGGAGGCGUUACCCGCAGAAGAAGCACCGGCUAACUCCGUGCCAGCAGCCGCGGUAAUAC
rnacentral:rRNA from 1 species